rfam:Picrophilus torridus DSM 9790, complete genome.
GCCACUGUAGCUCAGCAGGCAGAGCAGCUGAUUCGUAAUCAGCAGGUCGGGGGAUCGAAACCCUCCAGUGGCU